rnacentral:misc_RNA from 1 species
GAUGAAGAACGUAGCGAAAUGCGAUACUUGGUGUGAAUUGCAGAAUCCCGCGAAUCAUCGAGUUUUUGAACGCAAGUUGCGCCCGAAGCCAUUCGGCCGAGGGCACGUCUGCCUGGGUGUCACGCAUCAUUGCCCCCCCAAACUCCGGUUCGGGCGGGGCGGAAGUUGGCCUCCCGUGCGUGCCUGCGCGCGCGGUUAGCCCAAAAGCGAGUCCUCGGCGAUGAGCGCCACGACAAUCGGUGGUUUUUUUACCCUCGUUCCUCGUCGUGCGUGCCCCGUCGCCCGAACGCGCUCUUGCAACCCUUACGCGUCGCCUCGGUGGCGCUCCCAACGCGACCCCAGGUCAGGCGGGACUACCCGCUGAGUUUAAGCAUAUCAAUAAGCGGAGGA